AGUGAACGCUGGCGGUAGGCCUAACACAUGCAAGUCGAACGGCAGCACAGUAAGAGCUUGCUCUUACGGGUGGCGAGUGGCGGACGGGUGAGGAAUACAUCGGAAUCUACUUUUUCGUGGGGGAUAAGGUAGGGAAACUUACGCUAAUACCGCAUACGACCUACGGGUGAAAGAAGGGGAUCUUCGGACCUUGCGCGAUUGAAUAAGCCGAUGUCGGAUUAGCUAGUUGGCGGGGUAAAGGCCCACCAAGGCGACGAUCCGUAGCUGGUCUGAGAGGAUGAUCAGCCACACUGGAACUGAGACACGGUCCAGACUCCUACGGGAGGCAGCAGUGGGGAAUAUUGGACAAUGGGCGCAAGCCUGAUCCAGCCAUACCGCGUGGGUGAAGAAGGCCUUCGGGUUGUAAAGCCCUUUUGUUGGGAAAGAAAAGCAGCAGGUUAAUACCCCGCUGUUCUGACGGUACCCAAAGAAUAAGCACCGGCUAACUUCGUG
rnacentral:rRNA from 1 species